rnacentral:misc_RNA from 1 species
UACGGAGGGUGCAAGCGUUGUUCGGAAUCACUGGGCUUAAAGCGUGCGUAGGCGGAUUUGCAAGUCAGAAGUGAAAGCCUGGGGCUCAACCCCAGAACUGCUUUUGAAACUGCAAAUCUAGAGUCCGGCAGGGGUUGGGAGAAUUCCUAGUGUAGAGGUGAAAUUCGCAGAUAUUAGGAGGAAUACCAGUGGCGUAGGCGCCCAACUGGACCGGUAUUGACGCUGAGGUACGAAAGCGUGGGGAGCAAACAGG